UCGGGUCGUCUCGGAGGAGAAGAAAUUGCACGCGCCGAAUCUAUUAAAAAGGGUAGACUUCCCCUCCAAACAAUUCGUGCUAAAAUUGAUUAUUGCUGCUAUCCAAUUCGGACCCUUCCUAGAAUGGGGUAUUAUCUGUCCCGAUAA
rnacentral:rRNA from 1 species